UACGAAGGGGGCUAGCGUUGUUCGGAAUUACUGGGCGUAAAGCGUAUGCAGGCGGAUCAUUAAGUCGGGGGUGAAAUCCCUCAGCUUAACUGGGGAACUGCGUCUGAUACUGGAUGGCUUGAGGUUGGGAGAGGGAUGCGGAAUUCCAGGUGUAGCGGUGAAAUGCGUAGAUAUCUGGAGGAACACCGGUGGCGAAGGCGGCAUCCUGGACCAAUUCUGACACUGAGGAGCGAAAGCUAGGGGAGCAAAGCGGG
rnacentral:rRNA from 1 species